rnacentral:rRNA from 2 species
ACUCCGGGAACCGGAGCUAAUACCGGGUAAUACAUCGCACCGCAUGGUGCAAUGUUGAAAGUUGGCUUUCUGAGCUAACACUGCAGGAUGGGCCCGCGGCGCAUUAGCUAGUUGGUAAGGUAAUGGCUUACCAAGGCAACGAUGCGUAGCCGACCUGAGAGGGUGAUCGGCCACACUGGGACUGAGACACGGCCCAGACUCCUACGGGAGGCAGCAGUAGGGAAUCUUCCGCAAUGGACGAAAGUCUGACGGAGCAACGCCGCGUGAGUGACGAAGGCCUUCGGGUCGUAAAGCUCUGUUGUUAGGGAAGAACAAGUACCGUUCGAAUAGGGCGGUACCUUGACGGUACCUAACCAGAAAGCCACGGCUAACUACGUGCCAGCAGCCGCGGUAAUACGUAGGUGGCAAGCGUUGUCCGGAAUUAUUGGGCGUAAAGCGCGCGCAGGCGGUCUUUUAAGUCUGAUGUGAAAGCCCACGGCUCAACCGUGGAGGGUCAUUGGAAACUGGAGGACUUGAGUGCAGAAGAGGAGAGUGGAAUUCCACGUGUAGCGGUGAAAUGCGUAGAUAUGUGGAGGAACACCAGUGGCGAAGGCGGCUCUCUGGUCUGUAACUGACGCUGAGGCGCGAAAGCGUGGGGAGCAAACAGGAUUAGAUACCCUGGUAGUCCACGCCGUAAACGAUGAGUGCUAGGUGUUGGGGGGUUCCACCCUCAGUGCUGAAGUUAACACAUUAAGCACUCCGCCUGGGGAGUACGACCGCAAGGUUGAAACUCAAAGGAAUUGACGGGGGCCCGCACAAGCAGUGGAGCAUGUGGUUUAAUUCGAAGCAACGCGAAGAACCUUACCAGGUCUUGACAUCCUCUGACAAUCCUGGAGACAGGACGUUCCCCUUCGGGGGACAGAGUGACAGGUGGUGCAUGGUUGUCGUCAGCUCGUGUCGUGAGAUGUUGGGUUAAGUCCCGCAACGAGCGCAACCCUUGAUCUUAGUUGCCAGCAUUCAGUUGGGCACUCUAAGGUGACUGCCGGUGACAAACCGGAGGAAGGUGGGGAUGACGUCAAAUCAUCAUGCCCCUUAUGACCUGGGCUACACACGUGCUACAAUGGACGGUACAAAGGGCAGCGACACCGCGAGGUGAAGCAAAUCCCAUAAAGCCGUUCUCAGUUCGGAUUGCAGGCUGCAACUCGCCUGCAUGAAGCCGGAAUUGCUAGUAAUCGCGGAUCAGCAUGCCGCGG